CCCAGCGGUAGUCAGCUGUUCAGUGCUUACCAAUGCCUGUGAUAGUGUUACGCUGCUGGCAGAUGAAGAUAUAGCCAUUAUAUUCUAGAUGCACAUUGGUACCGUUCUGGUUUUAUGUGACUCAAGUUUCAGGCUAUAUCUUGCUCCCUUGAGAGUGCGCCUUGACCUACUUUGGUCAUUUGGUGCUAGUCUGGAAGCAAACAAA